UACAGAGGUCUCAAGCGUUGUUCGGAUUCAUUGGGCGUAAAGGGUGCGCAGGCGGCCGGGUGUGUCAGAUGUGAAAUCCCGGGGCUCAACCUCGGAACUGCGUCUGAAACUACUCGGCUAGAGUAUUGGAGAGGGUAACGGAAUUCACGGUGUAGCAGUGAAAUGCGUAGAUAUCGUGAGGAACACCAGAGGCGAAGGCGGUCACCUGGACAAUUACUGACGCUCAGGCACGAAAGCGUGGGGAGCGAAAGGG
rnacentral:rRNA from 1 species